AACGCCGAUCGCCUUGAGUUGAUAUGGCUCAGAGCGAACGUUAGCGGCAGGCCUAACACAUGCAAGUCGCGCGAGAAUUGGGCUUCGGCCCAUAGUAAAGCGGCGGACGGGUGAGUAACACGUGGAUAAUCUGUCCUUCGGCGGGGGACAACAGUCCGAAAGGAUUGCUAAUACCGCAUUCGUCUGCGAGGUCUUCGGACCUUGCAGGGAAAGAUGGCCUCUUCAUGAAAGCUAUCACCGAAGGAUGAGUCCGCGUCCCAUCAGCUAGUUGGCGGUGUAAGAGACCACCAAGGCUUAGACGGGUAGCUGGUCUGAGAGGAUGAUCAGCCACACUGGAACUGAGACACGGUCCAGACUCCUACGGGAGGCAGCAGUGGGGAAUAUUGGGCAAUGGGCGCAAGCCUGACCCAGCCAUGCCGCGUGAGUGAUGAAGGCCUUCGGGUCGUAAAGCUCUGUGGGGAGGGAAGAAAAACCUUGUGGCUAAUAUCCACGAGGCUUGACGGUACCUCCUUAGCAAGCACCGGCUAACUCCGUGCCAGCAGCCGCGGUAAUACGGAGGGUGCAAACGUUGCUCGGAAUCAUUGGGCGUAAAGCGCACGUAGGCGGCCUGUUAAGUCGGAUGUGAAAGUCCCGGGCUCAACUCGGGAAGUGCAUUCGAAACUGGCAGGCUUGAAUAUGGAAGAGGGUCGCGGAAUUCCCGGUGUAGAGGUGAAAUUCGUAGAUAUCGGGAGGAACACAGUGGCGAAGCGGCGACCUGNGCCNAUAUGACGCUGNGUGCGA
rnacentral:rRNA from 1 species